rnacentral:rRNA from 1 species
GACGUAGGGUCCAAGCGUUGUCCGGAUUUAUUGGGCGUAAAGAGCUCGUAGGCGGCUCAGAAAGUCGGGUGUGAAACCUCCAGGCUCAACCUGGAGACGCCACCUGAUACUGCUGUGGCUAGAGUCCGGUAGGGGAACACGGAAUUCCCGGUGUAGCGGUGAAAUGCUUAGAUAUCGGGAGGAACACCAGUGGCGAAGGCGGUGUUCUGGGCCGGAACUGACGCUGAGGAGCGAAAGCGUGGGUAGCAAACAGG